AUUUUUUCCCACUAUAUAUUCCAAAAAUCAGAUUUUUCUCUCAUAAUUCACUUACUUCCAAAAACAACUCACAAAUCUCUCUCUUUUCUCUCAAAGUUCAAACACAUUCUUCUCUCAUUUUUUCUCAGGAACAUCAAUAAUAUUCAUCAUUCUUCAACAAUUCAUCAAGAACAAAAGAUUCAAAAUUUAUCAUUCUUCUUCCUCUCCAACAGGAAUUCCACAAGCAAGACAAUCCCUCCGCCUACUGCUCUGAUCCUUCGUCGCAAGUCCUCCCUCUGGAAACUACACGAACGUGGUACCUCCUUCGUCUCCGCCGCAUUUUUACGAUGUUUUCCUCUCCUCUUUACGAUUGUUCCGGCGUCAAUAUCAUCCUCCGUUUCGAGCUUCGAUUUCGGUAAGUAA